rnacentral:rRNA from 1 species
AGAAUCAACGCUGGCGGCGUGCCUAACACAUGCAAGUCGAACGAGAAAGUGGAGCAAUCCACGAGUAAAGUGGCGCACGGGUGAGUAACACGUGACUAACCUACCCUUGAGUGGGGGAUAACUUAGGGAAACCUGGGCUAAUACCGCAUAAUACCUACGGGUCAAAGGAGCAAUUCGCUUAAGCGAGGGGGUCGCGGCCGAUUAGUUAGUUGGCGGGGUAAUGGCCCACCAAGACGAUGAUCGGUA